GAAGGAGGAACAAUAUCUCAAGGAGAAACAGAUCAUUAUUGACAAGAAUCAAAAUCUCAUUUCUGAGAAAGACAAUGUUAUAGCCGAACUGACAUCACAAGUAGAGGAACAAUCACAGAAUGAGAAGCAGAUCAUUACUGACCUUAAAGAAAAGGAGUUGUACAUA